rnacentral:misc_RNA from 1 species
GAUGAAGAACGCAGCGAAAUGCGAUAAGUAGUGUGAAUUGCAGAAUUCAGUGAAUCAUCGAAUCUUUGAACGCACAUUGCGCCCCUUGGUAUUCCAUGGGGCAUGCCUGUUCGAGCGUCAUUUGUACCUUCAAGCCUUGCUUGGUGUUGGGUGUUUGUCUCGCCUCUGCGCGCAGACUCGCCUCAAAACAAUUGGCAGCCGGCGUAUUGAUUUCGGAGCGCAGUACAUCUCGCGCUUUGCACUCAGAACGACGACGUCCAAAAGUACAUUUUUACACUCUUGACCUCGGAUCAGGUAGGGAUACCCGCUGAACUUAAGCAUAUCAAUAAGCGGAGG